rnacentral:rRNA from 1 species
GACGAACGCUGGCGGCGUGCUUAACACAUGCAAGUCGAACGGAAAGGCCCUGCUUUUGUGGUGUGCUCGAGUGGCGAACGGGUGUGUAACACGUGAGUAACCUGCCUUUGAUCUUGGUAUGACUUCGGGAAACUGGGUAUUAUACCGGAUAGGAGCCCCUGCUGCUUGGUGGGGGUUGGAAAGUUUCGGCGGUUGGGGAUGGACUCGCGGCUUAUCAGCUUGUUGGUGGGGUAGUGGCUUACCAAGGCUUUGACGGGUAGCCGGCCUGAGAGGGUGACCGGCCACAUUGGGACUGAGAUACGGCCCAGACUCCUACGGGAGGCAGCAGUGGGGAAUAUUGCACAAUGGGCGGAAGCCUGAUGCAGCAACGCCGCGUGCGGGAUGACGGCCUUCGGGUUGUAAACCGCUUUCGCCUGUGACGAAGCGUGAGUGACGGUAAUGGGUAAAGAAGCACCGGCUAACUACGUG